UGGGGCUGUAGUAGGUCCCAAGGGUUGGGCUGUUCGCCCAUUAAAGUGGUACGCGAGCUGGGUUCAGAACGUCGUGAGACAGUUCGGUCCCUAUCCGUCGCAGGCGUAGGAAAUUUGAGAAGACCUGUCCUUAGUACGAGAGGACCGGGAUGGACGUACCUCUGGUGUACCAGUUGUCCUGCCAAGGGCAUGGCUGGGUAGCUAUGUACGGAAUGGAUAAGCGCUGAAAGCAUCUAAGCGCGAAGCCAACUUCAAGAUAAGAUUUCCCACCGCAAGGGUAAGACCCCAGAAAGACUAUCUGGUUGAUAGGUCGAAGGUGUAAGUGCAGCAAUGUAUUUAGCUUAUCGAUACUAAUAGGUCGAGGACUUGACCAAU
rnacentral:rRNA from 1 species